CACUGCAUGGGUGUCAAGGUCCAGGUGUAAUACAUUGGAUAAAAUACACAAGUGUUACAUAUUUUUAUAUAUAUCAACCCUCUCACAUAAUCACAUUACUCCAUAUCAGUAUCAAACAACAAACCCUCCACAUCUUAACUAAGAAUAUUAGUAUCAAACAGCAGAGUCCUCUACCGUAGGUGACGGAGGUCCCGAAAUGCUAACAAUUGGUGGAAUCGUCACCAGAAUAGCACGCCGAGUUGGUGUUAAACCCGAUACAAUCACUAGAGAACUUAUGCCUCCAUCUCGACCAUUAAACCUGAAUGCCAUCGAAUAUAUAUCCUACUUUGAAUAUAGUUAUGGACCGUACGGUGGAAAGAUCACGUGGCUAGUUAACUCUAACCCGUACUAUGCACUCCCGGACGAUGAAUUCACUGGUGUGUGGCCUAGCCGUAGUCUAACUCCACCACCUAAUCUUGUAUGUUACCGAAAUAGAUUAGAGAAUGGUGAGUAUUCUGGAGGUGGUCGUCCAUAAGGAUGCGUAAUUUCAAUGUCAAAAUGACUGGAGCAGAUUGAUCGUGAAAGAUUGCAGUUAGAUGUUAAAGGAGUUCAAGUGUUACCGUUUAGUCUUUUAUGACAGUUGUACAGUUGUAAAUAGAUCACCUAGUAAUUGAGUUGUAAUAGUUUGAGUUUUGUAAGCCUUAGCACUUGACAAUGUGGUCAAGUGUGGCGGUGAUACCUCCGAUUUAGGUGUAAGCUUCCGCAAUUUUUAUAAAGUAUAUAUAUUAUUCUUA